UCAGACGAUGCGUCAUGCAUAUCAAUAAGCGGAGGAAAAGAAACUAACAAGGAUUCCCUCAGUAACGGCGAGUGAAGCGGGAAGAGCUCUAAUUUGAAAUCUUGAAAGGUCACCUUUCACGAAUUGUAGUUUAAAGAAGUGUUUUCUGUUACGAUCGUAAUAUAAGUUCUUUGGAAUAGGACAUCACGGAGGGUGAGAAUCCCGUCUAUGAUUGCGAUUUGUAGCUUUGUGAUACACUUUCAAAGAGUCGGGUUGUUUGGGAAUGCAGCCCAAAACGGGAGGUAAAUUUCUUCUAAGGCUAAAUAUUGGCGAGAGACCGAUAGCGAACAAGUACCGUGAGGGAAAGAUGAAAAGAACUUUGAAAAGAGAGUUAAAUAGUACGUGAAAUUGUCAAAAGGGAAGCGUUUAACACCAGUGUUGUUUUCUGAAAAUCAACCUCUGUUAGCUUUAUGCAUGUUUGUUUAGACCUAAUCAGCUAUCUUGCAUGUUCUAUUGUUUGCAGUGGUGCACUUUUCAGUUUACAGGUCAACAUCAGUUUUUUUUACCGUAAAAAAGUUAAAGAAAGGUAGCUCAUGGCUCCGGUCGUGAGUGUUAUAGUCUUUUUCCUAUGCGGUAGGAGAGACUGAGGUCUGCAGUGUAGGCUAUUUGGCUAGAUACUCAGGUGCUAUGUGAUACCAUUUCAUAAACAACUUGUUGAUUAUGUUUUGUCUAUUGCAUACUCGCUUGUACUAUCAUACCUACGCUUAGGAUGUUGAAGACUCUACAGAGAUA
rnacentral:rRNA from 1 species